rnacentral:rRNA from 1 species
GUAACACGUGGGUAACCUGCCCUUAAGUGGGGGAUAACAUUUGGAAACAGAUGCUAAUACCGCAUAGAUCCAAGAACCGCAUGGUUCUUGGCUGAAAGAUGGCGUAAGCUAUCGCUUUUGGAUGGACCCGCGGCGUAUUAGCUAGUUGGUGAGGUAAUGGCUCACCAAGGCGAUGAUACGUAGCCGAACUGAGAGGUUGAUCGGCCACAUUGGGACUGAGACACGGCCCAAACUCCUACGGGAGGCAGCAGUAGGGAAUCUUCCACAAUGGACGCAAGUCUGAUGGAGCAACGCCGCGUGAGUGAAGAAGGCUUUCGGGUCGUAAAACUCUGUUGUUGGAGAAGAAUGGUCGGCAGAGUAACUGUUGUCGGCGUGACGGUAUCCAACCAGAAAGCCACGGCUAACUACGUGCCAGCAGCCGCGGUAAUACGUAGGUGGCAAGCGUUAUCCGGAUUUAUUGGGCGUAAAGCGAGCGCAGGCGGUUUUUUAAGUCUGAUGUGAAAGCCCUCGGCUUAACCGAGGAAGCGCAUCGGAAACUGGGAAACUUGAGUGCAGAAGAGGACAGUGGAA